rnacentral:rRNA from 1 species
GAUGAACGCUGGCGGCGUGCCUAAUACAUGCAAGUCGAGCGAACGGACGAGAAGCUUGCUUCUCUGAUGUUAGCGGCGGACGGGUGAGUAACACGUGGAUAACCUACCUAUAAGACUGGGAUAACUUCGGGAAACCGUAGCUAAUACCGGAUAAUAUUUUGAACCGCAUGGUUCAAAAGUGAAAGACGGCCUUGCUGUCACUUCUAGAUGGAUCCGCGCUGCAUUAGCUAGUUGGUAAGGUAACGGCUUACCACGGCAACGAUGCAUAGCCGACCUGAGAGGGUGGUCGGCCACACUGGAACUGGGACACGGUCCAGACUCCUACGGGAGGCAGCAGUAGGGAAUCUUCCGCAAUGGGCGAAAGCCUGACGGAGCAACGCCGCGUGAGUGAUGAAGGUCUUCGGAUCGUAAAACUCUGUUAUUAGGGAAGAACAUAUGUGUAAGUAACUGUGCACAUCUUGACGGUACCUAAUCAGAAAGCCACGGCUAACUACGUG